UACGUAGGAGGCGAGCGUUGUCCGGAAUUACUGGGUGUAAAGCGCGCGUAGGUGGGAGGCCAAGUCUGUGGUGAAAGCGCCCGGCUCAACUGGGCAGAGUCCAUGGAAACUGGUCACCUGGAGGACGGUAGAGGCGAGUGGAAUUCCCGGUGUAGUGGUGAAAUGCCUAGAGAUCGGGAGGAACACCAGUGGCGAAGGCGGCUCGCUGGGCCGGUCCUGACACUGAGGCGCGAAGGCGUGGGGAGCGAACGGG
rnacentral:rRNA from 1 species